rnacentral:lncRNA from 1 species
CAAAAAAUCAGGAUAAUUAAAAAACAGAAAAAUGCCCAAAUUACCUGAAUAAAUCAGUAAAAAUAUGAGAAUAAAUUAGAAAAAUAUGGGAAUACAAUGGAUAAAAGCAGGUGCAGGACCAUUGCACACCAACAAAAAAAACAAGGGCAUGACCAUUGCAUCCACAACAAGUUCAUAUGAGCAACAUAUAAAGUAGUUCACCAGCACACUAAGUCCACACAUAACAAGAUCACCAACAUUUAAAGUAGUAGUUCACCACAGUAAGUCCACACAUAAAUAUUCCUAGUCCACACAAAAAAAGUCUACAUGAAAAGUAGUAGUUCACUAGUUUUCAUCACACCAAACUAUACAUGUCUUAAAUUACAUUAAAAGUAGUAGUUCCUCCACAUAAUUUAUUCAAGCUGGAGUUUCUUCUUGCUUCUGGUAUUAGAAGCUGGACUGGAUGGGUUGGCUACCUCAACUGGACUCUCCUUGGUGUACACUUCUUCAUGACAGCUUGCUUCUUCCUUGGUGUCUGCAUUAUCUGUGGAGAGAUUUUAUAGGAUGCAAUGUCUUCAUGAACAAAGAGGGUGCCCAAUUUAGAAAGCAAAGGGGUCAUUUGAUCCAGUUGCAGACCUUGGGUGAAAAAAGUGGAAGUGAGGUUGUAAAUGAGAUCGGUGAGGUUGUAAAUGACAAGAUAAGGAAAGGUGAAAGUGAGAGAUAAAGAGAUCACCCAUACCUACUAGUCACUGAAUUGUCAGUACUUGUUGUUGGUGGCCCCUUCUUUUUGGCAGCUUUUUUUACUCUCUUUGGCUUAUGUGUAGCAUUGUCCACCUCCUCAUUGUGUGGGAAUACCAUGCCUGAUCCAGGAGUGGCC